rnacentral:rRNA from 1 species
UACGUAGGGGGGCAAGCGUUGUCCGGAAUUAUUGGGCGUAAAGAGCGUGUAGGCGGCCAGAUAAGUCCGCUGUGAAAUCUCGAGGCUCAACUUCGAGCUGUCGGUGGAAACUAUCUGGCUAGAGUCCGGAAGAGGAGAAUGGAAUUCCUGGUGUAGCGGUGAAAUGCGCAGAUAUCAGGAAGAACACCCGUGGCGAAGGCGGUUCUCUGGGACGGUACUGGACGCUGGAGACGCGAAAGCGUGGGAGGCGAACAGG